AGAGUUUGAUCCUGGCUCAGAACAAACGCUGGCGGCAGGCUUAACACAUGCAAGUCGAGCGCGUGAGCAAUCACGAGCGGCAGACGGGUGAGUAACGCGUGGGAAUCUACCUAUCUCUACGGAAUAACGCAUGGAAACGUGUGCUAAUACCGUAUACGCCCUCAGGGGGAAAGAUUUAUCGGAGAUGGAUGAGCCCGCGUUGGAUUAGCUAGUUGGUGGGGUAAAGGCCUACCAAGGCGACGAUCCAUAGCUGGUCUGAGAGGAUGAUCAGCCACAUUGGGACUGAGACACGGCCCAAACUCCUACGGGAGGCAGCAGUGGGGAAUAUUGCACAAUGGGGGAAACCCUGAUGCAGCAACGCCGCGUGAGUGAUGACGGUCUUCGGAUUGUAAAACUCUGUCUUUGGGGACGAUAAUGACGGUACCCAAGGAGGAAGCCACGGCUAACUACGUGCCAGCAGCCGCGGUAAU
rnacentral:rRNA from 1 species